UUUGGCCUACGGGGCGCAGCAGUGGGGGAUAUUGGACAAUGGGGGAAACCCUGAUCCAGCGAUGCCGCGUGAGGGAAGAAGGUUUUCGGAUUGUAAACCUCUGUGGAGGGGGACGAUAAUGACGGUACCCCUUUAGGAAGCCACGGCUAACUACGUGCCAGCAGCCGCGGUAAUACGUAGGUGGCGAGCGUUGUCCGGAAUUACUGGGUGUAAAGGGAGUGUAGGCGGGAAAGCAAGUCAGAAGUGAAAACUAUGGGCUUAAACCAUAGCCUGCUUUUGAAACAGGUUUUCUUG
rnacentral:rRNA from 1 species